rnacentral:lncRNA from 12 species
GCCGUGUCUUGGGUCUGGGAGUGGUGUUUAAGGACUGAUCAAAAUUCCCUUCAGCUUGAUUGUUUUGUUCCUGCAGAAAGGAAAAAGAUCUAAGCAGACACUGCAGUAAGUCUCCACGAGAAUGCCAUCAGGACUGCUCAAACACAUGGUCUCU